rfam:Burkholderia ambifaria MEX-5 ctg00671, whole genome shotgun sequence.
UCCCGGGUGACUGGGAGUCUGAAGGAAGCCGGAUGGCAAAGCGCUGGCCUGACGAACAGGAAGCGGAUACGAGGCGUGGCGACUGGGUAAGGUGUCCCAAUUCACCGAAGCCCGAAACUUGCACCGACGUUGCUACGUAGAUCCGACAGGCAUGAGCGUGAAGGUGGGUGCG